UUUUUUUUUUUUUUUUUUUUUAAUUAUUAUCAAGAAGGCUUUAUUUUGACACUCCCAAAAAAUAAUUAUGAGGGGAGGCUUUAAAUUAUUACAAAAAAAAAA
rnacentral:ribozyme from 14 species